rnacentral:rRNA from 1 species
AACGCUAGCUACAGGCUUAACACAUGCAAGUCGAGGGGAAACGAUAUUGGAAGCUUGCUUCCGAUAGGCGUCGACCGGCGCACGGGUGAGUAACGCGUAUCCAACCUGCCCACCACUUGGGGAUAACCUUGCGAAAGUAAGACUAAUACCCAAUGACGUCUCUAGAAGACAUCUGAAAGAGAUUAAAGAUUUAUCGGUGAUGGAUGGGGAUGCGUCUGAUUAGCUUGUUGGCGGGGUAACGGCCCACCAAGGCGACGAUCAGUAGGGGUUCUGAGAGGAAGGUCCCCCACAUUGGAACUGAGACACGGUCCAAACUCCUACGGGAGGCAGCAGUGAGGAAUAUUGGUCAAUGGACGAGAGUCUGAACCAGCCAAGUAGCGUGCAGGAAGACGGCCCUAUGGGUUGUAAACUGCUUUUAUAAGGGAAUAAAGUGAGUCUCGUGAGACUUUUUGCAUGUACCUUAUGAAUAAGGACCGGCUAAUUCCGUGCCAGCAGCCGCGGUAAUACGGAAGGUCCGGGCGUUAUCCGGAUUUAUUGGGUUUAAAGGGAGCGUAGGCCGGAGAUUAAGCGUGUUGUGAAAUGUAGAUGCUCAACAUCUGAAUUGCAGCGCGAACUGGCAGACUUGAGUGUGCGCAACGUAGGCGGAAUUCGUGGUGUAGCGGUGAAAUGCUUAGAUAUCACGAAGAACUCCGAUUG